rnacentral:lncRNA from 1 species
UCUCUCCCUCCCCACACUCUCUCUUUCUCCCUCUUUAUUGGCCCUUUUUUGUGGUGGGCCCAUUUUGAGCAGGGAGCCAAACUAUUCUCCCCACCCUCUCUUUCUUUCUUUUCGUCGGUCCUUUUCGAUGAUAGGUCAAGUUGAGUCAACUUUCUCUCCCUCUUCCACUCCCUUUCUCUCUCUCCCUUUUUCUCUUUGCCAUCAGAAUUCCUCCCCUAGUCAAGCCUCUCUCUC